UUAAUUUAAAAAUAAAUAUCUAAAUUUAAGUAUAUCAUUUACAAUGAUAAGAUGUUUUUAACUU
rnacentral:tRNA from 1 species